rnacentral:rRNA from 1 species
CUAUGCUGCCGAGAAAAGCCUCUAGUGAGUGUUGUGGCGGCCCGUACCCUAAACCGACUCAGGUGGUCAGGUAGAGAAUACCAAGGCGAUCGGGUGAACUGUGGUUAAGGAACUCGGCAAAUUGCCCCCGUAACUUCGGGAGAAGGGGGACCUCUGCUGGUGAUGGGCUUUACGUUCUGAGCUGGUGGGGGUCGCAGUGGCCAGGGGGAAGCGACUGUUUACUAAAAACACAGGUCCGUGCGAAGUCGUAAGACGAUGUAUACGGACUGACGCCUGCCCGGUGCCGGAACGUUAAGGGGACCGCUUAGCCAACGCGAGUUGGCGAAGGUGUGAACUUAAGCGCCGGUAAACGGCGGUGGUAACUAUAACCAUCCUAAGGUAGCGAAAUUCCUUGUCGGGUAAGUUCCGACCUGCACGAAUGGCGUAACGACUUCCCCGCUGUCUCAACCACAGACCCGGCGAAAUUGCACUACGAGUAAAGAUGCUCGUUUCGCGCAGCAGGACGGAAAGACCCCGGGACCUUCACUACAGCUUGACAUUGGCGUUUGGAACGUCUUGUGUAGGAUAGGUGGGAGACUGGGAAGCUGUCACGCUAGUGAUGGUGGAGUCAUUGGUGAAAUACCACUCUGGUCGUUUUGAACGUCUAACUCUGGUCCGUGAUCCGGAUCGGGGACAGUGUCUGGUGGGUAGUUUAACUGGGGCGGUUGCCUCCUAAAGAGUAACGGAGGCGCCCAAAGGUUCCCUCAGCCUGGUUGGCAAUCAGGUGUUGAGUGUAAGUGCACAAGGGAGCUUGACUGUGAGACUGACAGGUCGAGCAGGAGCGAAAGCUGGGACUAGUGAUCCGGCAUCGGCGUGUGGAAGCGGUGUCGCUCAACGGCUAAAAGGUACCCCGGGGAUAACAGGCUGAUCUUCCCCAAGAGUCCAUAUCGACGGGAUGGUUUGGCACCUCGAUGUCGGCUCGUCGCAUCCUGGGGCUGGAGUAAGUCCCAAGGGUUGGGCUGUUCGCCCAUUAAAGCGGUACGCGAGCUGGGUUUAGAGCGUCGCGAGACAGUUCGGUCCCUAUCCGCUGCGCGCGCAGGAGACUUGAAGGGGGCUGUCCCUAGUACGAGAGGACCGGGACGGACGAACCUCUGGUGUGCCAGUUGUACCGCCAGGUGCACGGCUGGUUGGCUACGUUCGGAAGGGAUAACCGCUGAAAGCAUCUAAGCGGGAAGCUCGCCUUGAGAUGAGGUCUCCCACCCCGUGAGGGGGUAAGGCUCCCGGUAGAUCACCGGGUUGAUAGGCCGGAGGUGGAAGCACGGUAACGUGUGGAGCUGACCGGUACUAAUAGGCCGAGGACUUGACCAC